CAAAAGGCCACCACAGCCCUUUCCUAUUUUUUGUCUCUCACAGGCGUCCAGUCGGACCCCGCCUUCCUGUCCAAUCUUUCCUCUAUCCCAGCAUGCCCAUCACCGGCUUACGCAGGCAUCCAGCCAGCUACUGCUCCUUCCUCCUUCACAGGCUUGCAACAGGUCCCUGCCUUUCUUCUUUCUAUGCCGGGUUCCCAGCAAGCCCACACAGCAGGCUUCUCACUCCCAUCUCAGCUAGGCCCAGCUCUCUUUUCCAUUUCUUUCCCUACAGCUAUAGGCAUGAAGCAGGCUCCCAUAACUGCACCCUCCUCUUACCCUCCCUCAGCAGUCAGAGCUCCCCAGUUUCGCCCAGCUGUCCAGUUUUUCAACAACCACCCUUUACUUCCUCCCUCAGCAAGUUCCAGUUCUUCUUUAAAAAAUGCUGUUGCCAUGCCUCCUCCUGAAAACUCUGAUCUUCAACCCCAAGCCUGUCUCCCUUUCCCUGUGCCACCAGAUUCUAGCAGGUGCAGAUAUUAAUUUGGUUUCCCUCCUUACAAACUCCCUAGAUUCCACAAGUACCAGGGCGGUUCAGUGCGCAGAUCUCUCAGUUACCCUCAAAACCUCUGACCCCCACUUAUUCAAAACUCUCACCAUUUCUGAAUUUAUCCUAGCUUUCAGCCAUUUUAGAGAUAUUAAUAUUAUCUACAAAUUCUAUCCUCACCGGCGCCGUGAGCUGGAUGAUUACAUGUCAGUUAUUCUAGACCUUUCUGUUAGAUUCAGAGGAUCACACUUCUUCGAAUACCAUAAAGCCUUUUCUGCCAAAGCCACUGCUCGUCUCCAGCAAUGGAACCAAAGGAUUUACUGGGGAGUCUUAGAUAAAGAUUUAUUUUCUUGUUUUUUCACUGGUCUCCAGCUGUUGGCAUGCGCCAUAUGUAACUCUACCUUUCACCCCACCAUUUCCUGCUCCCUGACUGCACCUCCGCCCACCUCCCUUCUGUCUGGCAAUCUUUCUCUUUCUUUCAAUCCUUCCAGGUCUAAGGACGGACAUGAUCAUAGUAUUACUUUCUCUGGCGGCCAUCAGAUUUGUAAUAACUUCAACGAAAAAGCCUGCUCCUUUUCUUCCUGCAACUUCCUCCACAUCUGCAGCCACUGUGGGGAAGCCACAGGCAAGAGGCAAGAUCUGCUGAACGGGCAGAGUGAGUAAACGAUGUAAUGCUGUCAGUAGUGUGCAGCCUGCUGUAGAGAGCAGAGAGCUGCUGAGUAUGGUGGAAAUUGGUAUUUGAGAGUUAAGGCGUUUUUAGAUGAUGUCGGAGAUGGGGCUGCCUUUGGGCAGAGAUGAAGAAUGCAUAGAUCUGAGGCCGCUGCAGAAUCUGAGAGGAUGAGAAUGCGUUGCUCGGAGGUUGCUGCAAAACCUAUUGAUUUGAUCAGGAGCAGUCUAAGAGUGUAUUGUCUUUUGUGGUGUAGGAGGACGCUUUGACUGAAAUGUUGAUAAUCAUAGGACAUAGUUUCCGUAUGUGCCUGGUAGCUCAAAUUGAAUGAAAUGGACUUUGAAAGUUGUAUUAAGUGCCUUGAUGAACUUGGAGGCAAAUGAGGAAGUGCAAAUCCAGGAAAAAGAAGGUUGCAGGAAUGGCCUGAUGCAGGGAAGCUGGAAAAUUAAUGUGAUGAUGGAUUCUUAACAUCUCAGAAAGCUGAUAAGCUUGGCUUCAUAACCAAGUCCUUGAAGGGAGGGGUUUGGAUUUGAAAAAUUCAAGUUAAUAUAUGUAGCAAAAGAGGUUGAGGCAGGAGGUGACUGAGAAUCCCUCGGAAUGACAACGAACUGCAGGAAUUGAUAGAAAGUUUGGAGUGUGCGAGAUUCGCAGCGAUAGCAAAUCAUCUUAAAUUAUUUAGAGCUUGUGGUGUUAUGCUCCCAUCUAGAGGUUGUGAUUGGAAUUUAAACUAUUGGCUUCAGUGAAGCAGGGUAGCAUAUAUUUGGUUAUUGCGAUUAAAAUCCUUGUCUAUAUAUAAAACAUUUGCUUUAGAACAGUUAAUAAGUUAACAUAGGUCUAGAAGAGGAGCUUGCAGUAUUUAGAUGUCACAAUUCCGCGAGUUGAAGCUCUCAUGUUGCAAAAGAGCAGCAGCAGGAGCCAGAAGAUUGCAGUAAUGAGGCACAGACUCGCAUUAUUAUUAUUAUUAUUAUUUAUUUCUUAGCAGACUCCCUUAUCCAGGGCGACUUACAAUCGUAAGCAAAUACAUUAAGUGUUACAAUACAAGUAAUACAAUAAGAGCAAGAAAUACAAUAACUUUUGUUCAAGCAAAGUACAAGUGUGACAAACCACAAUUCAAUAACAGCAGAUAAUAGUGAUAGUUACAUCAGGAUAUGAUUAAAUACAAAAUACUACAGGUUAAACACUUGGCAGAUUACAGUAGUCUGAAGUACAGGAUCUCGCAUUGCCUGGUAAAGCUGCCUGGUCGCCAUGGCAACUUACCACUCCCAGUAGUCACUCGAUGAGGCGUUGCCAUGGUAACCAUGGUCUGUGAGGCGCCGGUGGGAAAGAGUUGCAGUACAGCAGUGAUGUUGAAACAGUCUUUCUGAUGAAAACACAGAGUUGAGAAUGGCACUGCGCUUUGAACGGCGCUGUAGCUGGGCUGGAGACUGGAUGGAGCAGGAAAGACUAACGUUGGAGCUCCUGCAGAAAAACAGAAAAGCUGAAUGAUGAAAAGAAUCACCUGAGCAGGAGUCCUCUCUGGAAAAUCCUGACCAUUCCUUAGACCAAACCCAGUACUGCUUGAAGAGAACAAGUCUUUGAAAAAGGCUAGGCUAUCUUGCACCUUCAGCAGUUACUUCAAUCUGUAAAAGAUCUUCCAAUAUGUAUCUUAAGACUUGAAAAGGCUAUUGAAAAACUCCAGGGUUUUACUAAUCCAGCAUGUGUGCCUUCUUCUACUAGUUCUGUGGAGGAGCGACCUACCCUGUCCGAAGAUGUGGUGAUGCUGGAUGCAGACUCUCAAACCUCAAUUUCAAAAAACCGACUGAGACUGUGUACCCAAGCCGACUUCAGGAAGCUGAAGAACAAUUUACUGGAUGCCUUCUUUACAAAGGAGCAGUAGGCAUCCCUUUCGAUGACAGGAUCUUGGGCUGGAGUGAACCUGCACUAAAUCAGGAUAUCCUCAAAGCCAUUAAUUGUAGGUGUAUAGCUUUUCAGAUUUGUUUCUAGUACUGUAUGUGUUUUUGACAGCUUAUGUUCAUCAAAAGUUUCCAAUGAUCCCGGUGGCUGAUAUUCGUGGGAUAAUGCAAAAUAAACUGAAUAAUGCAGCACAUUCUAGAAGAUAGUGGUUUUAUUGUUGUUAAUUUAGAAAGUAUUCCACAGAACUAGCAGCAGGCACAUGCUGGAUUCUAUAAGAAUUAACGUGAAAAGAGUUGAAUGUUUCGAUCUGCAGGAGAUCUUGCAAAUCAGAAUGUUGAACUGUCUGCAUAGUGUUUUAAUAUUUUUCGAGCUAAUGGAUAGUGUGCGGGUAGGCCCAUUACAUCUUCUGACCUCAUCCUAGACCAAAUCAAGACUUUGACCCACCUGCUUAUUUCAAAUUAAUAGCCUGGUGUUGAUGGCUUUCUUCUGCCCAAGGGGGAACCCGCCAUCAAUACUGGGUUUAUAAUUUUACAUCAUCUUAGCUAUUUUUUUGUUUGAGUAGCAGAUUGAAAAAUGUUCUAUGAAUGGCAAUGAAUGAAUUCUCAAGGUUUUGGAAAUGUUGAAUGUGUAAAUAAAAAAAAAUGUAUUCAUUAUUUUGCCUUCACUCAGUCGGACUAGCCAUUUAAUUUUCAUAGUUCAAUAAGUUUCAGUAUUGUUCCUUAUCCUUUAACCACCCACCCUUUUUACUGUAUCCCCCCCAUACCAUUCCUUUCCCAUUAACAAACACGUUAAAUGUGUGUUUGCUGAUAUAAUUAUUACAACUGUCACUAACUUAAUACUGUAGCGUUCUCGGUUCCCGCAGGCAGGCGCAUCACACAGGGCGAGGAAAUCCACACACAGGCGGAGGGCGGGCGCGAACCCGGGACCUCUCGCACUGAAGCAUAGCGCCGAUACCGCUGUACAAAAGAGCCGGCUCCUUUGCAAGGAGCGUAUAUCGGGCUUAUGUCUCUGUGUGUGAUUACGUCACCUACCAGCCCGACUGCUGCCUUCCCCCGUGCACGCUACAAUACUUUGUCCAGGUUAUUUUAUAUAGGCUACUAAAAAUAAAUAAGUAUGAAGGCAUUAACACUUGUGAAAAUGGUGAUGAUAAAAAAGUAGUAUACUUGGGUCAUUAGUAGGCUACUAUUUUGACCCAAACAUACUUUAAGUAUACCACUUUUACAGGACAGCUGCAUUUAUGUAUGAUUGAGACAUGAACAAUAGCCUACUGCAAAUGUUGUAAAAUCUUUUUUUUAAAAAACAAUGAAAGGUAGAGAUAAAUAUUUGACUUUUUCUUGUGUUUUUUCUUUGGAAACGUAAUGGUAGCCUACUUGAUGUUUUCUCUCUGAGAGCUGUACUAGUUGCCUCCUUUCAUAUAAGUUAAUACGGUACUCAAUUGUUUUGCUGUGAUGUUGCUCUGGUCACCCGGCCACGACUGAAACACAUUUUUGGAGACGACUAGAAAAGUUCAUUGGCAUCACACAUGCUUGCAUUACGAUGAUGUCAUUUUUUGUAAAAAGUGCUCAAAUGCCUGCUUUUGAACAACUAGUUAUUUGGCGUAGAGCAUUAGCUACGUAGUUUGAGUGAGCCAGAAGGAAGCAGAUUUCUCUGGACGGCGGUUCGAAUCUCGAAUUCUACACUUAUGUUUCACGUUAAAAAAAUAUUAGGCUUAUUAUUAUUAUUAGGGUCAGUCUGUUUGUGAAGAUAUGCUCUAAUAAUCAAAAUACAGUUAAAAUAUAAAUAUCUAUACUCCCCUGCUUUUCUCAGGACUGAUCUGAUCAGAUGGAUAUAUAGGAAGGGGGGAAGGGAGACUCCUCUACUCCAGUCCCACAGUUUUUUUUUUGUUUUUUUUCACACAAACACAAAGACUGCAGCAGUACUGUAUGACAGCUGCUAAAUUGAAAUAUUUAGAAUUUAUCGAUUGUCAUCCAAGUGAUCCAGUGUCAUAAGUUUUCCCACUUUGAACAUUUUGGUAGUUAAAUCACGAUUCUAAAAAUCCAAAGUCCAAAAGGAUUGUAUUAUAAUGAUUCAUUAUUAUUCAUUCUUAAGUGGUUGAGUAGGCUGGACGCAAUGCCAUAAAAAUACUGACCCAGAAAGUGAACGAUAUGUAUUAUCUUAAAAAGGGGAAAUAAUAAAAUAAUAAUCAGCAGGAAAAAAAAUAAAGCAUGAACAUUAAUGGUAAUGAUAAUAGCCAUAAAAGUACCGGUUUAAACAUAUUUAAAAUAGGGAAACUAUAGUAAAACAGUGCUAAAAAGUAAAAAUAGUAAAAUAAGCUGUAGCUAUAGAGUCAAGAUCACAUAUUAUAUUAUGAACUCACUAUCCUGUGUAGCCUACUACACAGUGGCUGCCGUAGUUACUCUAUAUUAAUAUUUCAUAUUUUUGUUUUUCUUUAUGGCUACUUAUUGUUGGAUUGAGUGACAUGUAACUGUGACAGAGAUCAAGUGAUUCUUGGUGUUAGAUCUCCCUCCCGACCUGUGAGGGUGAUGUGUAAAGGGAACAGAGUACCCUGUACUAAAUGGCAUGACAAUUUAUUCCUUGGGUUAGUGGAAGUCGGCCAUCUUGAAAAGGGGCGAGGCUAUGACCCGGACGUGAAACGGUGUUGCAUCUUCGGAUUGGAGGAGUAGAUGCGCUCAUUAACCUAGGGGUCAUGGGAGAGGGUAUAAAGGGGUGGUAGUAAACUUUUGUAAAUUGUUAAAUAGCCCUAAAAGGAUACCCCUGUGAUUGCUGAAACUGUGAGUGUUUGUUUUGUGUUUGUAAUAGUUUGUCUGUUAAUUAUAGACUACCACUAACACGCUCCGGAGCUGUAGCGUAAUGCACCACCAAUCCAGACAUCAUCACUUUCACCUUUUCAUUCACGGAGGACUGUCUUGCACCACUAGCACUAAUUUCACUGCCACUGAAAACUGUUUGUGUUCUGUGUUUAGUGUGGGUGUGUUAAAAGACUGGACUUUUUGGUUACUGGUCAAACCCGGGGAUUUACAAAUACUGAGUGAUACACGCCGCUGUAUCACUCCAUCAUUUAUUAUUUACAGGUGUUUGCCAUAAGGCUCUGGACAUUGUUAAAACCCUUCAAUAAACACCCUUGCA